UACAGAGGUCUCAAGCGUUGUUUGGAUUCAUUGGGCGUAAAGGGUGCGUAGGCGGCGCGGUAAGUCGGAUGUGAAAUCUCGGAGCUUAACUUCGAAACUGCAUUCGAUACUGCCGUGCUUGAGGACUGGAGAGGAGACUGGAAUUUACGGUGUAGCGGUGAAAUGCGUAGAGAUCAUGAGGAAGACCAGUGGCGAAGGCGGGUCUCUGGACAGUUCCUGACACUGAGGCACGAAGGCCAGGGGAGCAAACGGG
rnacentral:rRNA from 1 species